AUUUCUUAUAUUUCUUAUUUUUUUCUUAUAUUUCUUAUAUUUCUUCUACUCUCUUUUAACAAUGUCCUCACGCUUCAUUCUUCAGUGUCUUUUCAAUUUCUGCAGCUUAAAGUACAGCAUGGUUAUAACAGACCAAGAACUGGCCACAGAGCCAGGGAAACGUGGGUUCAAGCUCUACCUCUGAUUCAGAUUGGCCGUGUAAUCUGGUACAAGUUACUCAACCACUCAGUGCUUCAAGUAACUCUGUAAGACUCUAUGUGCCCCUGCACUGGUAGAGAGAAUUUCCUUCUCUGGGAGUUCCCUAUAAAAUCACCAGUCUAAUCAUGAUCCUCUGGAGAAGGGUACUAAGAAGAGCCAAGGCACCUUCCACUUGGUGAGAUACAUUUUCUUUUCUUUCUUAUUCCUAUUGCCUCUUUUGUCCUUCCCCCUUAGAUUCUUUCUUCCUUUUCCUUUCUCCUUCCUUUCUUUUAUUCUCUCCUUCCUCCCUCCCACCCUUCUCCUCCCUUUUUCUCUUUUCUUCUCCCUCCCUUUUUUGAAGAGGGGGUUUUCAUAUUUUUCUCAGGCUGGCCACUCAUAAGCCAAAUCCCAUGACUGAGCAGCACUGCAGCUUUGACCUGGACCAGCUCAGCAUUUCUUAAGCAGCCUGGUAGCACAUAAUCCCAAAGGCUUACCACACUUGUGCUGACCUUUUAGGGAUUGCACCUCAGAACUCCUGAGAUCAAGUGACUGACCAGCCUCAAUGUUCUCAGCAGUGAGAUAACAGACACAUAUCAUGGCUGUUAUAUAGUAUCCUGUGUCCAAAGCUCACAUAAGGGAGCCCAAAUGUGGGGAAGGGAAAACAGUUCAAAAAGCUUCCACCAUCCAACAUAUCUUCAUCAUUGCCUACGGCAUUUUCCACAUGUGAUCUAGGAUUCAAAAGCAAGAAUACCUUCCUUCGAAGAAGGGAUCACUGCACAGUACCAAGAAGCACAAGAUCAAGGAGACACCUUGACACCGAGACAGAGGACUUGUUUUGAGGUUUGAGGAAGCAGCUAUUUGACAACUUCAGAUGCAAGACUCCGUCAUGCCAGAUUUCUAACAAGUACCUUAGUUUGGCUUUCAUUUUGGCUUCACUAUCCCUGAGAUUAAGGUAAAAUCAGACAGGAAUCACACUUCCCUUUUAAAUCAGAAUCUUAUCUCUUCUCUUUAAAAUAUGACACUUUUCUAUAGUCCUGGCUGCUUUGGAUAAAGUGCAAAAUUGCUGCAAUCAUCCAAUAGGCUUGUGGGACAUAAACCACUUUAAUUGGGCCUUGUUGGUGAUUUAAAGACCUGUUACAGGUUUAUUCGUUUUUACUCAUAAUUUUAUAUACAUAGGAUUUUGAUAUUUUAUUUUUUAUCUAGAAUUUAAUUUUUUCUCUUUUAUUUGGGAUAUUUUUUUAGGUUUUGGUUUUGACAAUUAAUUCAUAUACCUCAUAACUUAGCCAUGUAUCCCAGGGUGAUUCUGGUGUUGGUCAACACCCUCCUCAGAGGGGAUUUGUGUAAUUAUCCUAAAUUCCAAGGUUUAAAAUCUUUUGGAGGAAUUUCAGGAAAAGAAACUCGCCAACAUCCCAAAUCAAGAAAGUGGAUCUUUUUGGAAAAGGUGCUAUAAGGAUGCCUGUGGAAACCACAUACUGCAACAAAAGAUUCAGAAUGAACUUUGGUAUAUAAUGAACUGAACACAAGUGGGUUGAACAUACUUAUUCUGAAUGUAAACUCUUAUACCAAAGGGGAAUGCUCCCUAAUUAGUGUUCUGUCAAUGUUUCCAUGAAUCCUUUUUUGUUUUCUUUCUCUUUUCUUUCCCUCUUAUCCCCACAAUGUUGUAAUUUCCCUUUUGUAAAGUGCAAUAUGUUAUGCACCUCUAGUCAGAAGGAUCUUUAGAGCAAUGAUAAAUUGGGGAGACUAGGCAUGUAUAUCUGGGAGAUUUCAACAUGUUUGUCUCCCAGUAGAAUCACAGGGGGGAUUGUGUAGGUAGAAUCUACUCAUCCCCACAGCUUGUCCCCACCUUGCUGCAUGGCUAGAUGCCAUGUGAAUGCUCCAAACAGCUCACAGUUGAAGAGCCCUAGAAAUAUGACCCAGAACUAAAGGUUAUUUCCUUGGCAGUGGAGCACCAUGCUGAGUCAGCCAGUCGUGUGGAGAACCAUGUGGUCAGUUAGGUUAGAUUAGGCUUAAAUCUCUACAUAUUUGCUCUUUUUAUUUCAAGUGAUUAAUAAAACUUAUGGAAAAUAAGAACCUGCAGUUAUUAAUUUUAAUCUAACAGUAUGCAAGGGCUUUCCCUCUUUGAUUUCUUUGGAGCCUUGGUCUAGUAUAGGUAUCAAUUAGGGGGUUUAGUGACUUUUUUGGCAUAGUUCCAAAACACUUGCCAGAAUGGCUAAACCAAUUCACAUAGACCCAGCAACAACAUUUACAAUUUUCCAUUUUUGUCAACUUUAUUAAUGUAAUGAAUUUGAAGUGGAAACUCAACUUACAUUUCUCUGAUUAUCAGUAAUUUUGGAACAUUUUUCAUAGAGCUAUUAAUACACUGAAUCUUCCUUUGAAAUAUACUUGUUCAUUGCUAUUUGUUAACUGAGAACUGGUUCUUAUUCUUACAAAUUUGAAUCAGUUCCCUAUUUAUCUUAGAAAUGAAACUUAUGGAUAAUUUGUGUGGGUUUAUAUUAUAUUUGGCAGUUUUGCUAAAGCUGUUAAUUAUUUAUUAACAUUUAAUUAAUUCUAUAGGCUUAAAACAGAUCUAUAAAAAUUAUAUUUUUAUUUCUUCUUUGCUUAUGCUUAUUCCUUUAAUUUAUCUUUCUUGUCUUAUUUCUCAUGUUAGCAUUUCUAGCACUAAAUAUGAUGGUAAUGGUGGCAUCCCUAAUGUGACUGGAAAGGUCUCUGGCUCAUUACAGAUAAUGCUAGCUUUUGGUUUUACAUAGAUACUAUUUGUAUUAAGGAAAGCUCCUUUUAUUCCUAUGUUUUCUAGUAUUUGUAACAGGAAUAGAUAUUGUAUCUUCAAAAGUUUUUUUUUUUGCAUGUAUUUAAAUAAUGAUAUUACUUUAUUGGUUUUGUUAUUAUGAUCAAUUAUGUUUAUAUUUUUCCUAAUACUAAGACACUCAUGCAUUUCUGUUAUAAAUCCAAAUGUGGUCAGAAUAUAUAAUCAUUCUGAUAUAUUGCUAUAGCAUACUUGCCAAUAUUUUAAAUUCUGUACAUCAAUAUUUUAUAUUCGGAAUAUUUGUCUGUGGUUUCCUCUACCCUCUUCUGACUUGUCUCUCCACAGGCAGUCAAGACAUCAUUAUUUUUUUUAAAAUCCUUACCUUCUGUCUUGGAACCAAUACUGUGUAUUGGUUCCAAGGCAGAAGAGUGAUAAUGGCUAGGCAAUGGGAGUUAAGUGACUUGCCCAGGGUCACACAACUGGGAAGGUCUGAGGCCAGAUUUGAACCUAGGACCUCCCAUCUCUAGGCCUGACUUUCAAUCCAGCUGCCCCACCAAGACAUUAUUUAUGUUAAAGAAUGAAUUAGUAGGAUGCCUUCUUUUCUAAGAUUAUAUAGUACAGGAAUUAUUCUUUAUUUGGUAGAAUUAGAUUUUUGGACUUGAGAUUUUUCCCUCUUGGAGUUCAUCUAAGGUUGGUUCAUUUUUUUUUCCUAAAGCAGGUUUAAAAUUUUUUUCCCCUUUUCUGUUAAUCUGGGAAAUUUUAUAUUUUUAUAUUUUAUAUUAAUUUAUUUCAUUUAAGUUAUGAGUUGAUUAGCAUAUGGUGGAAAUACCUAAUAAUUUCUUUGAUUUCUUCUUUAUAACCUUUUUAUUUCUGAUAAUUUGUUUCUUUCUUUCCCAUCAAAUUACCUAAUGCUUCAUCAAUUUUAUUGCAGGAUUUUUAAGCUCCUAGUUUUUUUCAGUUUUUGUUUUUCUUUUUUUUAAGCCCUUACCUUCUGUCUUGGAAUCAAUAUUGUGUAUUGGUUCCAAGACAGAAGAGUGGUAAGGGCUAGGCAAUGGGGGUCAAGUGACUUGCCCAGGGUCACACAGCUAGGAAGUGGCUAAGGGCAGAUUUGAACCUAGGACCUCCCAUCUCUAGACCUGACUCUCAAACCACUGAGCCACCCAGUUGUCCCCUGUUUAUCUCUUUUGAUAAAAUUCCUGUUUUGGUAUUUGGCUGAGGUUCCUUAGAUUUGUUGUUGGUUUUUUUAUUUUAUUUUAAUAGUAUACUCAAUUUGUUAAUCUGCUCUUUCUUUUAUUGAUGGGCAUAUAAAUAUCUAAGUAGUCCUUCAGCUGAAUCUCCAAAGUUUGGAGAUGCUGACUCAUUACAGUUAACAAAAUUAUUAUUUCUACGAUUUGUUCUUGGACUCAUUUAGAACAAUUUAUUUAAUUACUUAACUCUGGGUGAUUGUUUAACCUUUGUUUCAAAGAUCCCCUACUGAAUGUAAUUUUUAUUGCACUGUAGUCAAUAAACAAUGCAUUUAAUAUUUCUACUUUGGGGCAUUUCUUUGUGAGAUUUUUUAUGUCUUAAUGAACCCUAAAGAUAAUUUUUGUGAAGAUGCCAUGCCCAGUUGAGAUAGCCUUUCUAUUUCCAUUGAAUAUUUUCCAGAUAUUUAUCAGAUUUAAUGCUUCUAAAAUUUAGUCAGGUCUUUUGUUUAUUAUUUAUUAGAUCUGUGUAUAUCUGAAAGGAGUAAACCAAGGUCUCCCACUAUUUUAGUUUUGCUAUCUACUUCUCCCUACAACUCAUUUAAAUUUUUCUUUAGGAAUUUAGAUGUUACUUUUUUUCCUGCAGAAAUUUAGAUGACAUUUUUAGUAUUUGUUUCUUAUUGACAUUAGCACUAUGGUAACUAAAAUUAGCUCAUGGUAUCUUUUAACAAAAUGUAGUUUCCUUGUUUAUGUCUCUUAAUUAGUUCUAUUUUUGCUGUUAUUUUGUCAGAGAUCAUCAUUGCUACCUUUGCCUUUUAAAAAUAAUUUCAGCCCAAAAAAUAAAGAUUCUCUGCCAGCCUCCUAAAAGAGAAAUCUUAUAAAUACCAGAAUUGUCAGAUUUUGUUUUAUAAUCCAUUCUGCUAGCCUCUUUCAUUUUAUGGGUCAAUUUACUCCAUUCACAUUCAUAUUUAUGAUUGCUAAUUGUGUAUUUUCCCCCUUAUCAUAUUCUCCCUUUUCCCAAGCACUUCUCUUUAAGAGUUUGUUUUGCUUCUGAUGAACACCUUUUAAUCUAUUCUACCUCUUAUUUCCCUCUCCUUCUAUUCCCUUAAUGCCUUUCCUUCCUCUGUUGGGUGAAAAAUAUUUCUGUACCCCAAAAAGUGUAUGUAUAUGCCUCCCUCCUUUGAUGAGUUCAAAUUAGUGUCACCCACUCCUCAUUUCCUCCACAUUGUACAGAUUUCUACUUUCUUAUUCCAUUUAUGUGAAAUAAUUUUCUCCAUUAUUACUUUCCUCCUUUCCCAGUAUGUUCUUCUCCUAGCUUUCUCAUGGUUUUACAGCCUAGAUCUUUAGCCUUCUGUGUAACCUAAGGUGGCUCAUCAGUACUUGAAUUCUUUAUUUUUGGCUGCUUAAUUUUUUUCUCAUACCUGUAUUUUGGUUAUAAUAUUACUGGGCCUUUCAUUUUGUGAAGAUAGGAUUAACUCUCCCCUGCCCAUUUUUACAUUAAAUCACUAGAAGCAUAUACACCCCACUUACACUUGAGUGAGGGAGGUUUAUAGCCCACAUGUACUGAAAAUGGGAGACAAAUCAGAACUCAUUAACUUCCCCCUGGACAGUCCUGAGAAAAUUUAAUAGACUAUAAUUGGUCCAUAUAAAGUAGAGGAAGGCACAGGAAGUGGCACAAAGAAGCUUCUAUAAAAAGAGUUACAACUUCCUGUGAGAAUGAGUUCUUUGUAGUUCUGAGUUCGAGUUGGAGACUGGUGAAGAAUCUGCUUCAAGGACCUGAGACCCUGGACUCAGUGAGACUGUUAUUCAAUCUCUCCCUUUGAACUACCACAUGGCUGAGUGAAAAGGCUGACUUCUUCCCUGAUUUUCAGAAGGAACUAGCCUCUGGAGAGGCCCCCGUCUAGGGAGAGAUUUUGUGGCUAAAACCCUUGUUUAAUUUACCUCUGGGCCCCCUUUGCUGGGACCUCUUAAGCCCUGUCUGGUUCAAACCAGGCCAGAGUAAAUAUCUACUCUCUCUGAUUUUCUUUCAUUCUUUCUCCUUUUGUAAAUGUUACCAUAAAAAAUAAUUUGGAAUUGAGUAAUAAUUCCUGGUGACCACACUCUUAAAUAUCUUAUCCAACCCUUUCUGGCCCUUACAAUUUGAUGGUUUCUUUCAAAAUGUUAAUGAUGAAUCAGUUCAGUUUUCACUUUGCUACCUGGUUCUAAGAUAUAAGCAUUUAUUUUUAAAUAGUUUUAAAGAUUUCUUGAAAUAAAAUGUUGACUUCUUUUAGUCUUGGUUUUCAAUUGUUUUUGAAUUCUUUUCCAGGUGAGUUGAUUUUGCUAAUAAAUUGUAUCUUACUUAUAUUUUCUUCUAUUUUUAUGGCUUUUAAAAUAUUUCUUGAUGCCUCAUAGAAUCAUUACCACUAAUUUGAUCAAUUCCAAUUUUCAGGGAGGUAUUUUCUUAGAUAACAUUGUGUACUUCUUGUUCUAAGCUGUUAAUUCUAUUUUCAUAAUAUCUUUCUCCCAUAAUUCCCAAUUCUUUCCCAAUUUUCCACUAUCUCACUAAUUUGGUUUUGAAAACAAAUUUCUCUCUUUCUUUCUCUUCCCUCUUCCUUUAACUCUUUCCAGUAAUUCUAGUUAAGACUUUUAUUGAAGCUCUAUUCCUUUUUGAGGUUUUACUUGUAGGUAUUCAAGUCAUUCUCUCUUCUUGAGUUCAGUUUUCAGCUUCUCUGUUAUCAUAAUAACUUUUCAUGGCAGUAUUUUUUUUUGUUGUUGUUGUUUAUUUGCUCACUCUUCCAGACAACUGCUUGACUUUGGACUUUUGUGUUAGUUAGUGCUGAGUUCCAUGCCCUUAUGAAAGAGAAUGUCUGGCUUGAAUGUCUGUCUUCUUACAUCUUUCUGCUACUUUUCAUAGAUCAUGCUGGGGAAUCUGUAAGCUGAAAGCAGUGAAAGAGUAUGGGUUGGGCAGUCUGCUCAUUGCCUUUCUUAUCUGAGUUCUUCAAGUUCUGACCCAGUUUUGGUUCUGUUGGCUUGUCUCUGGAUGGGAGUUUCAGUAGACUGCUAAUCUACUCAGCUACUAUUGACUGAAGCUUGGGAGGUUCAGAGAGACCAAAGUAUAGGUUUCUCCCUGAUCUGAUACUCAUUGCCCAGGAAGCACAGUAGGCUUCCACUCUAGUCUAAAAAUACAACUGUCCAUUCUUUUCCUGUCUCCUUAUGCUGUUUUGGGGGUAGAAAAGGUGGUUCAUAGUGGUUUCUCCACAGAUCUCUUGAUUAUUAUUAAGAAUAAUGUUCUGCUUCUUCUCAUUCCACCAUCAUAGAGUUCCCUGAUCAACUCUUUUCUGAGGUCUAUUCUUGUAUCAUCAACUACCUCUUGGACAUUACCACUUAAUUGUCCCAUAGGCACUUCCAACUCAGCAUGUUAAAAAGAGAAACCAUUAUCAUCCUUCUAAAAUCUAUCUUUGUUCAUAAUUUCCUGAUAUCUGUUUAGGAAACAAUCAUUCCUUCAAUCAUCAAUGUUCAACAUCUUAGAGUCUAUCUCUAUUCCUAGCUUUCCUUUAUCUACCAUAUCCAGUUAUCAAGUCUUGUCAAUUCUAUCUAUUACAUUUAUUUAAUCUAUCCUCUUCUUUCUCAUAUGGUCACAAAGCUGAAAAAAACUGCUGGGUUAGAUUAAGCAUAUAUAGUAUUUCUAGAAUUAAUACAAUUUUAAAGAUGAUCAAUAACUACAGUUCUUCGGAAACUGGGGUAUUCCAUGAUGCACAGACAAAAAGCAUCAAUAAAGGAAAACAAAAACAACAACAAAAUUCAUCUGGAAGAACAAAAAGUCAAGAAUAUCAAGGGAAUCAAUGAAAAAAAGUGUGAAGAAAGGAAGCCUAGCAGUACAAGAUCUCAUAAUAUAUUGCAAACUGGUAAUUAUCAAAACAAUCUGGUAGUGGCUAAGAAAGAGAAUAGUGUAUCAGUGGAGUAGAUUAGGUAAACAAUGACUAGAAAGAAAUGACCAUGGGAAUUUAGUGUUUGAUAAAUCAAAAGAUCUAAGCCUCUGAGACAAGAACUCACCAUUUGACAAAAACUAUUAGGAAAAUUGGAAAAUAGUA